rnacentral:rRNA from 1 species
AGUGAACGCUGGCGGUAGGCCUAACACAUGCAAGUCGAACGGCAGCACAGUAAGAGCUUGCUCUUACGGGUGGCGAGUGGCGGACGGGGGAGGAAUACAUCGGAAUCUACUUUUUCGUGGGGGAGAACGUAGGGAAACUUACGCUAAUACCGCAUACGACCUACGGGUGAAAGCAGGGGUUCUUCGGACCUUGCGCGAUUGAAUGAGCCGAUGUCGGAUUAGCUAGUUGGCGGGGUAAAGGCCCACCAAGGCGACGAUCCGUAGCUGGUCUGAGAGGAUGAUCAGCCACACUGGAACUGAGACACGGUCCAGACUCCUACGGGAGGCAGCAGUGGGGAAUAUUGGACAAUGGGCGCAAGCCUGAUCCAGCCAUACCGCGUGGGUGAAGAAGGCCUUCGGGUUGUAAAGCCCUUUUGUUGGGAAAGAAAAGCAGCAGGUUAAUACCCCGCUGUUCUGACGGUACCCAAAGAAUAAGCACCGGCUAACUUCGUG